GACGAACGCUGGCGGCGUGCUUAACACAUGCCAGUCGAACGGAAAGGCCCUGCUUUUGUGGGGUGCUCGAGUGGCGAACGGGUGAGUAACACGUGAGUAACCUGCCCUUGACUUUGGGAUAACUUCAGGAAACUGGGGCUAAUACCCGAUAGGAGCUCCUGCUGCAUGGUGGGCGUUGGAAAGUUUCGGCGGUUGGGGAUGGACUCGCGGCUUAUCCGCUUGUUUGUGGGGUAGUGGCUUACCAAGGCUUUGACGGGUAGCCGGCCUGGGAGGGUGACCGGCCACAUUGGGACUGAGAUACGGCCCAGACUCCUACGGGAGGCAGCAGUGGGGAAUAUUGCACAAUGGGCGGAAGCCUGAUGCAGCAACGCCGCGUGCGGGAUGACGGCCUUCGGGUUGUAAACCGCUGUCGCCUGUGACGAAGCGUGAGUGACGGUAAUGGGUAAAGAAGCACCGGAUAACUACGUG
rnacentral:rRNA from 1 species